UCUCGCCUGCCCGGUGACUAUAUGUUUAACGGCCGCGGUAUUUUAACCGCGCGAAGGUAGCGUAAUCAUUUGUCUUUUAAAUGAAGACCUGUAUGAAUGGUAUUACGAGGGCUCAACUGUCUCCCUUCUCCAGUCAAUGAAAUUGACCUCCCCGUGCAGAGGCGGGGAUAUUAAUAUAAGACGAGAAGACCCUGUGGAGCUUCAAGACCUAAAAUAAGCCAUGUUCAGGAAUCUAAAAUAUAAGUAAAAACUUAGUGGCAUCUAUUGAAGUGUCUUCGGUUGGGGUGACCCUGGGGAAAAAUUUAACCCCCAAGUAGACUGGGUACAUUGUCUCUAGAACUCAGAGCUCAUACUCCAAGUAACAGAAUAUUUGACUUUAUGAUCCGGUAUAACCGAUCAACGAACCAAGUUACCCCAGGGAUAACAGCGCAAUCCUCUUUAAGAGCCCAUAUCGACAAGGGGGUUUACGACCUCGAUGUUGGAUCAGGACAUCCUAAUGGUGCAGCUGCUAUUAAGGGUUCGUUUGUUCAACGAUUAAAGUCCU
rnacentral:rRNA from 1 species